rnacentral:rRNA from 2 species
CAGUCGAACGAACUCUGGUAUUGAUUGGUGCUUGCAUCAUGAUUUACAUUUGAGUGAGUGGCGAACUGGUGAGUAACACGUGGGAAACCUGCCCAGAAGCGGGGGAUAACACCUGGAAACAGAUGCUAAUACCGCAUAACAACUUGGACCGCAUGGUCCGAGUUUGAAAGAUGGCUUCGGCUAUCACUUUUGGAUGGUCCCGCGGCGUAUUAGCUAGAUGGUGGGGUAACGGCUCACCAUGGCAAUGAUACGUAGCCGACCUGAGAGGGUAAUCGGCCACAUUGGGACUGAGACACGGCCCAAACUCCUACGGGAGGCAGCAGUAGGGAAUCUUCCACAAUGGACGAAAGUCUGAUGGAGCAACGCCGCGUGAGUGAAGAAGGGUUUCGGCUCGUAAAACUCUGUUGUUAAAGAAGAACAUAUCUGAGAGUAACUGUUCAGGUAUUGACGGUAUUUAACCAGAAAGCCACGGCUAACUACGUGCCAGCAGCCGCGGUAAUACGUAGGUGGCAAGCGUUGUCCGGAUUUAUUGGGCGUAAAGCGAGCGCAGGCGGUUUUUUAAGUCUGAUGUGAAAGCCUUCGGCUCAACCGAAGAAGUGCAUCGGAAACUGGGAAACUUGAGUGCAGA